GGAUCCCAGGGAGCAACCUUGCCAUAUAAGCACAUAAAGCCCAAUUCUCUGGUUUAUUUUGAAAAGGGCCAAGAAGAAGCAUUUGAAAAAUGCAGGAAUAGCAUCAGCCAGCCACAGGGUGAAGCUCUGUUUUAGUCACGGGCAGUGCCCUCCUCUGAGGGACCACGGUUAUUUUAAACUGGAUGUUGGCACCGCCUAUAUUUAGCUGGUGUGUCACAUCUUAGCUCUUAUUUUCAUAUAUCUGACAUACUUCCCGCUUUGCAGGAGGCCCUGAUUUGCUCUCAUGGGGAGUGCUCAGAGAGGGACAUGGAGCUGAGCCCUGGGAGGCAGUGAAAGACUGUGGAUGAAAAGUGCCACCUGUCGUAUCAGUAAACAAGCGACGUUGCAGCCCAUCAAGCCUUCACAUUACAGUCACCCCGACGGUGAACCCCCAGGGAACUCAAGAUGGAAAGAGGGUGUCCACAUGGAACAUCGGCCACUGCAGCCACCUGCCCCCUCCAAGGGUGCAUCUGAGGAGACAGGGUGAGAACGCUGUGAAUACUGGCCCCAGACAGCUGAGGUACAUAUCAAAGGAGUGAUUUCAGGGCACCCAGACUCUUGCGUCUUUCCAUACCGAGAAAAGCAUUAAAUUCCUUAAUUUGA